AGUAUGUCACGGAGUGACUUUGUAAGGGCGGAACUAAAAAAUGACGGAGAUUGGUUCCGCCCGGACCAUAAUUCUCAAACACCGGGAACUCCGGGAAGGGAAAUUAGGGUUUUAUUGAUCGCAGGUGGAUAGAUGAACGGGGCGAUCGUGGAUUGGGCAGUAUGAAGAGAAGGAGGAGUAUAAAGAGGGCCUCAGAAACUGCAGAGGAGGAGGGGAGUUCUUUGUUUUAUGUGAGCUGAUACGGCGACCCGGACCCUGCGUGAGUUGGAGGGUUCGGGGGAGUACAGUGGAAAGAAGGCAGAGGAUAUUGUUGGCUGGGCAAAGACGGAGACAAGGGUUUGGCAGAAACAGAAACCGGGCUGAGUAUAUUGGGAUGUCUACUUAACUGUGAAAUGCUCCAUGGAUAUGUGUAACAAAUUCGGAGUGGUUGAAAACAGGAAGACUCACCGGAAGUAUCGCCGAAGGAGGCCUUUUCGACAGGGCACGUGGCAGCAGGAGAAGUAUCCAGGAGCUGGAAAGAAGAGGGAAAAGAGACCUCGUGUUAGUAACGGUGUGAGUACCCUAAACCAUCGUACAGCAGUAUAAUCAUCUAGAGUGAACCAUCUGUGAGUGUUUUGUGAGUUGUGGCAUAGUAUGUGAGCGGCCCCACUGGGGAGGAGGAUUGUGGGUGAGCCGGGACCAGUGAGCGAGAGAGGAUGUUGGGUUGUUGUGGCGGCAACGUUUAAAUCUGAAUAUUCGUGGCAUCAGUGUCUUCACGACUUCCAGGACGAGUCUUUGGUCAGACGGGGUUUUGACCCUAAAUUCACCAAGAGUGUGUGGAGUGCAGUGGGUGAGUCUUUGUCCUUUGCUGUGAGUGUAUACACUUGGAAAUUGCAGUGUUGUGCUGUGUUGUGUCGUCAACAACCACCUUUCAGGCCCGACGAAAUCCUGUGAAGGAAGCGAGUACCGAGGCGGGCGAAGAAAACAUCUCCAAUUAUAUGCCGUCAAAUGACAUCCUGACCCUUCUUCCCCACGUGACGGUGGUGGGAAACCAUUUCAAGUAAGAACAGUGUGGAUCUAUUGGGAAGUAUCAAUGGUGAGGAGUUGGCUGCUGUAGGAGGAAAUCAGCUGUGCGUGUAUUACCUGUCUGCCCAGAGUGAAGUCCCAGUUGUAUUGGAUGUACUUACCUCAUGCCCAAAGCUAAAGCCAACAUAUUGUGUUGUACACUCGCCUGUAUGCUCAAGUGAAACCCCAGUUGUCUUUCCUACGGACUUACUUGUGCCCCCGAGUGAAGAGCCAGCGGCCCCUCUGUCCACUAUCCGUGUCCAGUCCUGUUACACUUACCUUUAUGCUCUUGUGCAGAUCUAGCGGGUCCCUUUGAAGCGUCUACCUGCAUGUCGACUCGUCACUCAGGAUACAGAGACCGUGGAAAUUAGGAAGGGGCGUGACUCACAACAUCGGUGGUCAGCUCCGACCUGUGACA
ensembl:lncRNA